rnacentral:rRNA from 1 species
CGGAGGAUCCAAGCGUUAUCCGGAAUCAUUGGGUUUAAAGGGUCCGUAGGCGGUUUUGUAAGUCAGUGGUGAAAUCCGGCAGCUCAACUGUCGAACUGCCAUUGAUACUGCAGGACUUGGAUAAUUGUGAAGUAACUAGAAUAUGUAGUGUAGCGGUGAAAUGCUUAGAUAUUACAUGGAAUACCCAUUGCGAAGGCAGGUUACUAACAGUGGAUUGACGCUGAUGGACGAAAGCGUGGGAGCGAACAGGAUUAGAUACCCUGGUAGUCCACGCCGUAAACGAUGGAUACUAGCUGUUCGGAAGCAAUUCUGAGUGGCUAAGCGAAAGUGAUAAGUAUCCCACCUGGGGAGUACGAACGCAAAGUUUG